rnacentral:rRNA from 1 species
CCAGACUCCUACGGGAGGCAGCAGUGGGGAAUAUUGGGCAAUGGGCGCAAGCCUGACCCAGCAACGCCGCGUGAAGGAAGAAGGCUUUCGGGUUGUAAACUUCUUUUCUCAGGGACGAAGAAAGUGACGGUACCUGAGGAAUAAGCCACGGCUAACUACGUGCCAGCAGCCGCGGUAAUACGUAGGUGGCAAGCGUUAUCCGGAUUUACUGGGUGUAAAGGGCGUGUAGCCGGGUUGACAAGUCAGAUGUGAAAUCCUGCGGCUUAACCGCAGAACUGCAUUUGAAACUGUUGAUCUUGAGUACUGGAGAGGCAGACGGAAUUCCUAGUGUAGCGGUGAAAUGCGUAGAUAUUAGGAGAAACACCAGUGGCGAAGGCGGCUUACUGGACUGUAACUGACGUUGAGGCUCGAAAGCGUGGGGAGCAAACAGGAUUAGAUACCCGGGUAUC